UAGACAUGCAAACCAAUAACAGUAAAGUGCUGCUAGUUUUAAUUGCAUCAUUACAUUCGCAAUAUUAGCUGCCUGCCUGGCAAUAUCAAUAUUCUUAAAGGCAUGUGUGGAAUAUAGAUGACCCACGCUAUGUGGGGAUUCUUUAGACAUCCCAUGAUGCCAUGUUCCCCUUGCUGCCUGCUGAGAAAGCAAUGGAUAGUAGGAUGAUGCACGGCUCGUCUUCCUGAUGUCCCCCAGUAUUUCGGUAAUUACUGCCAGAUCUUGUUUGGAUUUAGGCAGCAGGCUGGAAUCUGUAGUUUCAUCACGUAGGAGCUGAUUGGUCCAGUGGGGGGCGUGGGUUCGGGGGACAUCCUGCACUUCACCAUAGCCGAUCUCCUCGUGUUCCUGAUAGGAAAGCGGAGAGAGAAAGAGUGACGGAGAAGGACCUCACGGCCACAUGGGGGCAGGUGAACAGACACCACGGCAGGACACGAGAAUCUGGAUGACACCUGCAGAAAUUACCCUUCCAGCAAUUGGAAACUACCAUCCGUGUCUCACUUAACCCCAUGCUUCUCAGAGACUCACAAUGGACAUGGACCAGAGGUACUGUAAAUGAUGUAUGUGCAUGGAUUUAAGAGGCCUUGUAGUGCUUUGAUUUCCUAAAGAAUGUGAAAACUGGAACAAAUUCACCUGUUAGCCUUUAUUGCAAAAGAGAAUUAAGGGUAACGUGGGUUAAUUAUGACACCCAGACUGCAAGCUAACGUUACAAAGGAAAACGUAUGUUUGCGUUUACACUAGUGCAUUGUUUUCAUUUAUGUCGGUAUUGUUAAAGUUGUGUUAACCUCAAUAUUCACCAGACAAAAAACUCGCAAGAAUAUAAAGAGAAAUAUAGAGAGGGUCAUUAAAACCUGUAAGUCUGGUUAAACUGGAUAGCUAUUCUGUGAGUACCGGUUCGGCCUUUCGUUUCACAAAGAGAGGUUCGAUCACGUUCGUAUAAAUAUAACAAAAUAUAACACUCAUAGCUAACAAGAUGUAAAAAUGUUGACUUUAUUAGGUACAAUACAGGACCAAGAUUUUGAGUGACUUACCAGUGUUCUGCAGGAACAUUAUGAUCAGUAAAUGUGGAACGGAAUGGAACAAGUGAUUUUCCACAAAAGAUCCAGUCCCAACUUCUGUGUGCAGAAACUAGAGCGUGACCAGGCCAUUUGAAUAUGAAAUGGCUGCAGACUUUGUUUCAGCCACCUUGUACCGUGCAACAAACAAAG
rnacentral:lncRNA from 1 species